UACGGAGGAUGCGAGCGUUAUCCGGAUUUAUUGGGUUUAAAGGGUGCGUAGGCGGAGUGUCAAGUCAGCGGUAAAAUUUCGGGGCUCAACCUCGUCGUGCCGUUGAAACUGACACCCUUGAGUGAGUGAGAAGUAAGCGGAAUGCGUGGUGUAGCGGUGAAAUGCAUAGAUAUCACACAGAACACCGAUUGCGAAGGCAUCUCACGAAUCCGCGAUUGACGCUGAUGCACGAAAGCGUGGGUAUCAAACAGG
rnacentral:rRNA from 1 species